CAGUGCGCCUACAGGCUGUCCCUAAUUUUCCCUGAUUUUUUUCCGGGGAACUGAAACGCACUACUGGUACCUGCAUGUGUCCCAAAAAAUCCCAAAUUAGACCCAGGCCCCUUUCGGCCAAUAUCGCAAUUCCAGCACGGCGGCUCCGCCGUACUCCGGUGACGGCACCGCCGCAAGCGGCGGCGAUUCGCCUCGAGUUGGCCGUUUUCGGCCGAAUUCGGCCACACUUGCAUCGAUCCCUGCGAUAAAACAACCCUAGGGCCCUCGUGGGGUCAAAAAAAUUACGGAAAACCGAAGCUUACCGGCAGCGGUGCUCUCGGGUGCGGCGGCUCCGAUCAACCUGUAUAGAAAAGAAUGGUGAUCACGGUGAUAUAAAAAUUGCAUCAAACGGAGGCCGGGAAGGGC
rnacentral:lncRNA from 1 species